rnacentral:rRNA from 1 species
GUCAAGCUACAAAGGCUCACGGAGGAUACCUAUGCACUCAGAGCGAUGAAGACGUGGUUACCUGCGAUAAUCUCGGGGGAGUUGGAAGCACACUUUGAUCCGGGAAUUUCGAAUGGGGCACCUCAUGUACGGCCACUGAAUAUAUAGUUGUUGCGAGCUACCAGCGAACUGAACAUCUUACU